rnacentral:rRNA from 1 species
UGGGGAAUAUUGCACAAUGGGCGCAAGCCUGAUGCAGCCAUGCCGCGUGUAUGAAGAUGGCCUUCGGGUUGUAAAGUACUUUCAGCGGGGAGGAAGGGAGUAAAGUUAAUACCUUUGCUCAUUGACGUUACCCGCAGAAGAAGCACCGGCUAACUCCGUGCCAGCAGCCGCGGUAAUACGGAGGGUGCAAGCGUUAAUCGGAAUUACUGGGCGUAAAGCGCACGCAGGCGGUCUGUCAAGUCGGAUGUGAAAUCCCCGGGCUCAACCUGGGAACUGCAUUCGAAACUGGCAGGCUAGAGUCUUGUAGAGGGGGGUAGAAUUCCAGGUGUAGCGGUGAAAUGCGUAGAGAUCUGGAGGAAUACCGGUGGCGAAGGCGGCCCCCUGGACAAAGACUGACGCUCAGGUGCGAAAGCGUGGGGAGCAAACAGG